GCAUUUUUAUCUUGUAACCACAGAUUGAGGUUGUCACAGUAACAAAUACUCCACAGAUUUGGGUUUAAACACAACUUUCUUCUACUUUUUAUUUGAUUUUCCCUCCUCCAGAAAAUCAUAGCACGAUGAAAACGACGCUGGUUUUGCUUCUUGUCGUUCUGGUCAUCUCGUCUGAGAUGUUGACUGCAGACAGCUUCCUUAGGAAUGGCAACAGUCGGAACCUGGUCCGCAGCGGGCCGCCCGGUACCCACGGCGAGGUGGCCGCCCUGAAGGCUCUACAGUCCCGCCGCCAGGCCGAGGCCGCACGCCGUAAGAGGGACGUGGAUGAGAACGGCGUUCACGGUCCAGAAGGGGAAAAAUGAAGGAUGGAAAGGUUGUCGAGGUGAUUACUAGUGUAUGCCACCGCCACUACGUGACGUCAACGAAUGAUGGCUGCCAAGAUCCACUAUUGCAGAUCCAACAGACGUCGCUAUUUUUAAUUCUUACUUUUCUU